UUUCACCGAUCCGAGCCACAGGGGUGAGCCGUCGGUGUGCUCCCGCCCGUAGGUUGCCAGUAGUGCCUGUGCUUC
rfam:Streptomyces cattleya DSM 46488, complete genome.